UACGUAGGGUGCAAGCGUUGUCCGGAAUUAUUGGGCGUAAAGAGCUCGUAGGCGGUCUGUCGCGUCAGCUGUGAAAACCUGGGGCUCAACCCCGGGCCUGCAGCCGAUACGGGCAGACUAGAAUUCGGUAGGGGAGACUGGAAUUCCUGGUGUAGCGGUGAAAUGCGCAGAUAUCAGGAGGAACACCGAUGGCGAAGGCAGAUCUCUGGGCCGUAACUGACGCUGAGGAGCGAAAGCAUGGGGAGCGAACAGG
rnacentral:rRNA from 1 species